GGCAUGCCUUACACAUGCAAGUCGAACGGCAUGCAGCGGAGCUUACGCGUCUGGUGGCGAGUGGCGAACGGGUGAGUAAUGUAUCGGAACGUGCCCAGUAGCGGGGGAUAACUACGCGAAAGCGUAGACUAAUACCGCAUACGCCCUACGGGGGAAAGCGGGGGAUCGUAGGACCUCGCGCUAUCGGAGCGGCCGAUGUCGGAUUAGCUAGUUGGUGGGGUAACGGCUCACCAAGGCGACGAUCCGUAGCUGGUUUGAGAGGACGACCAGCCACACUGGGACUGAGACACGGCCCCAGACUCCUACGGGAGGCAGCAGUGGGGAAUAUUGGACAUAUGGGGGAAUUUUCCUGAUCCAGCCAUCCCGCGUGUGUGAUGAAGGCCUUGCGGGUGGUACAAGCACUUUAGGCAAGGAAAGCAUACGUAGUGGGAUUACAUACCUCACGGUAACUGACGGUACCUGCAGAAUACGCACCGGCUAUCUGAUGCCAGCAGCCUCGGUAGUACGUAGGGUGCCAUCGGUUAAUAUGUACUGACGUGGGACAAUAAAUGCGCUGCCGCUAUUGCUGGGUGCAGAGCACCAGCACUUGGAUUGUUCCACCGCACGCAAGCUUAGUUCUCUUUGGCGGGACGCGCAGACUUGCUUUCACAGCGGGCUGGGCCAAACCAAUAGUUGUUAUAGCGGGGGGAAGAUGUACCUCCUUUCCUUCCACCAGAUAAUUCUUUUUUAUCAUUUCUCGGCGGG
rnacentral:rRNA from 1 species